GACAGAGGGUGCGAACGUUGCUCGGAAUUACUGGGCGUAAAGCGCGUGUAGGUGGCCAGGCGAGUCGGGUGUGAAAGCCCGGGGCUCAACCCCGGAAGGGCACUCGAUACUACGUGGCUGGAGUCCUGAAGAGGAGAGCGGAAUUCCCGGUGUAGAGGUGAAAUUCGUAGAUAUCGGGAGGAACACCAGUGGCGAAGGCGGCUCUCUGGGCAGAGACUGACACUGAGACGCGAAAGCGUGGGAAGCAAACAGG
rnacentral:rRNA from 2 species